UACGUAGGGUGCAAGCGUUGCCCGGAUUUAUUGGGCGUAAAGCGCGCGUAGGCGGUUACUCAAGUCGGAUGUGAAAGCCCUCGGCUUAACUGAGGAAGUGCACCCGAAACUGAGUAGCUAGAGUACUAAAGAGGGUCGCGGAAUUCCCGGUGUAGAGGUGAAAUUCGUAGAUAUCGGGAGGAACACCGGUGGCGAAGGCGGCGACCUGGGUAGAUACUGACGCUGAGGCGCGAAAGCGUGGGGAGCAAACAGG
rnacentral:rRNA from 1 species